rnacentral:rRNA from 2 species
UUUGGAGCCAGCCGCCUAAGGUGGGAUAGAUGAUUGGGGUGAAGUCGUAACAAGGUAGCCGUAUCGGAAGGUGCGGCUGGAUCACCUCCUUU